rnacentral:rRNA from 1 species
UACGAAGGGGGCUAGCGUUGCUCGGAAUGACUGGGCGUAAAGGGCGCGUAGGCGGUUCGUACAGUCGGGCGAGAAAUUCCUGGGCUCAACCUGGGGGCUGCGUUCGAUACGUGCGGACUAGAGUGGGGAAGAGGGUCGUGGAAUUCCCAGUGUAGAGGUGAAAUUCGUAGAUAUUGGGAAGAACACCGGUGGCGAAGGCGGCGACCUGGUCCUUGACUGACGCUGAGGCGCGAAAGCUGGGGAGCAAACAGG